rnacentral:rRNA from 1 species
UACAGAGGGUGCAAGCGUUAAUCGGAAUUACUGGGCGUAAAGCGUGCGUAGUCGGUUAUCUAAGUCGGGUGUGAAGUCCCCGGGCUCAACCUGGGAAUUGCAUUCGAUACUGGAUAGCUAGAGUUCGGCAGAGGGAAGCGGAAUUUCGGGUGUAGCGGUGAAAUGCGUAGAUAUCCGAAGGAACAUCAGUGGCGAAAGCGGCUUCCUGGACCAGAACUGACGAUCAGGCACGAAAGCGUGGGGAGCAAACAGG